AUGUAUUCACCAGGGGAGGAGCGGGAUGAAAGCGCUUUUAACCUCCCCGCCAUAAACUUUAAUCGGAUUCCGAGCUGUUGCACGGCAUGGACUCCUCGCCUCUUCUCUGCGUCUCCUUCCCCGUUGUCUCCCAUUUCUACUACGAUCUGCUUUGCGAGAGCCUUUUCCAAGCGAAUGAGUGAUUCCUUUCUCUUGCCAUGUGCAAUCUUUCCCCCCUCCCCUUUCUACCCUCUCUGGCCUCUCUUACACACACUAUGUCUUUCACAUGCGGUCUGUGCCCCCCAGUCCCCUCCCUUUCUUUCUCUUUUGCAGUGUCUUCGCAUGCAAUCUCUCCCUGAAUGUGCAAUGUCUUUCCUGCUCGGGAGUGCUGCGUCCUUCACAGUGGAUUGGUUCCUCUUUCGGAGCAGAGAUCACGGGAAAAGAGAAAAGCAGUCGAAUAUUGUGAUAAUCCUGGGAGCCUGCAGAAGCUGGUUGAUAGACUUACAUGAAGAAAUUGUUACAGAUGUCAUGUUUUGAGGAUGGCUGAUCCUGUGCUUGGAAGCCAGCUCAUGCCAAACAGGUGAAACAGCAGAGCGAACACCAAGGACAGAGACGGAGGAGGAGGAAGUACUCCAGGCACUCCAGAUGUGCACACUGGAGCCUGUGCAGGACCCCAUGCUGGAGUAUGUGAAUAUUUCCUGAAGAAAAUGUGGCCUGUGGAGAGCAGGGGAAAAGCAUGAGUGGGAAGGACAGGCAGAGAGAAACUGUUAUACACUGACCAUAACCCCUUGUCACUGUGCACCACUCAGAGGUGUGAUACAGCGUGCCCCACCUGGUGCCUGGUGUGAAUGAGAUGUCUAGACUGUGAGAGUGGGGAGGAAAGAUGUUUUUAUGUUCUUGUUUCUCGCUACCCAAAUCUAUUUUAAUUAGCGAUAAAUUAAAUUAAUUUUUCCCAAGUCAAAUUUGUUUUUCCUGAGAUGGUAAUUGGUAAGCAAGCUCCCUGACUUUGUCUCAAUCCAUCAGGUUUUUCAUCCUAUAUU
rnacentral:lncRNA from 1 species